GACUCCGUGGCGCAAUCGGCUAGUGCGUUCGGCUGUUAACUGAAAGGUUAGUGGUUCGAUCCCACCCGGGGAUGAAAGCU
rnacentral:tRNA from 1 species